rnacentral:antisense_RNA from 1 species
AGUGGAAAUGCUACUUGUAAAACCGUCCUUAGCUCCAGGAUAGUAGAGCUAUCACCAAGACAAUUGUGCAGUGAGUGACAAGAGAGAUAAGUGGAGAACGUGAGACAUCUAUGAGACAGAGGACAACUUCAAUAAAAAACACCAGGUCAGCGGAUAAGACCAUGUCACUCACAAGUUUGUGACUUGAGGCCUGAGCACCAAUGAUCCACUCCACAUCAGUGGAGAAUGUUGGAAAGUAAGGAUGCUGUGGACAUUUUCUGAAGUUGGAGAAACGGAAUGGUGGAGAAGCCAGUAUUGGGGUACCAUGAGUGGAACAGAGUUGAUUACAAAUCUCAGUAAAGCUUUUCAACUGUA